AUUUCAUAUACACAAUAUGUGUGUGUGUGUGUGUGUGUGUGUGUGUGUGUGUAUAUACACACACACACACAAUAUAAUGUAUGUAUAUAUACAUA
rnacentral:miRNA from 1 species